AAGGAAAUCGAGGAUGAAAUUUCUAGGUUACAGCAGCAGCUGCAGACGGCAGAGGAAGAGAUAAGAAAAUACGAGCCAGAUCCACGGAAACUCGCAUCAAUGGAGCAGAUUGAAGCAUGCGAGGAACAGCUCAUCGACACACUGACACGUGUCGUCCGGAGGAAGGAAUAUUUGAUGAGUAAACAUUCGUCCUCAUCAGCAGCUGGAAUGCAACGCUCUCAUGCAAACAACGUCGUUGAAUGGUCAACGGAGGGAAUUGGGCCCAGCCAGGCCCAAAUGUUAGACGUCGUUGGUUGGUUACCAGAAAGUGGGCCCAACAAGGUCCAAAUGUUUGACGCCUCUGUUCCUUCGAAUCAGCUCAGGUCUCCAUAUGGG